AAAUUGAAGAGUUUGAUCAUGGCUCAGAUUGAACGCUGGCGGCAGGCCUAACACAUGCAAGUCGAACGGUAACAGGAAGCAGCUUGCUGCUUCGCUGACGAGUGGCGGACGGGUGAGUAAUGUCUGGGAAACUGCCUGAUGGAGGGGGAUAACUACUGGAAACGGUGGCUAAUACCGCAUAACGUCGCAAGACCAAAGAGGGGGACCUUCGGGCCUCUUGCCAUCAGAUGUGCCCAGAUGGGAUUAGCUUGUUGGUGAGGUAACGGCUCACCAAGGCGACGAUCCCUAGCUGGUCUGAGAGGAUGACCAGCCACACUGGAACUGAGACACGGUCCAGACUCCUACGGGAGGCAGCAGUGGGGAAUAUUGCACAAUGGGCGCAAGCCUGAUGCAGCCAUGCCGCGUGUAUGAAGAAGGCCUUCGGGUUGUAAAGUACUUUCAGCGGGGAGGAAGGUGUUGUGGUUAAUAACCGCAGCAAUUGACGUUACCCGCAGAAGAAGCACCGGCUAACUCCGUGCCAGCAGCCGCGGUAAUACGGAGGGUGCAAGCGUUAAUCGGAAUUACUGGGCGUAAAGCGCACGCAGGCGGUCUGUCAAGUCGGAUGUGAAAUCCCCGGGCUCAACCUGGGAACUGCAUUCGAAACUGGCAGGCUUGAGUCUUGUAGAGGGGGGUAGAAUUCCAGGUGUAGCGGUGAAAUGCGUAGAGAUCUGGAGGAAUACCGGUGGCGAAGGCGGCCCCCUGGACAAAGACUGACGCUCAGGUGCGAAAGCGUGGGGAGCAAACAG
rnacentral:rRNA from 1 species